UCCCUGCUUUCCAUCAGCGGGGGUUACUGAAGAGGCACACCAUCAUUGCCGGAAGUGCGGUUGGGACUCUCCCUCCAAUCCAUGGCAGACAAAGCCGAACUUACACCGCAUCGCGGCGUUGGUUCACUAUCCGCGCAUCGAGCGCUUGCUAUGGUU
rfam:Rhizobium etli CFN 42, complete genome.